UACGGAGGAUGCGAGCGUUAUCCGGAUUUAUUGGGUUUAAAGGGUGCGUAGGCGGGCUUCUAAGUCAGCGGUAAAAAUUCGGGGCCCAACCCCGUCCGGCCGUUGAAACUGGGGGCCUUGAGUGGGCGAGAAGAAGGCGGAAUGCGUGGUGUAGCGGUGAAAUGCAUAGAUAUCACGCAGAACCCCGAUUGCGAAGGCAGCCUUCCGGCGCCCUACUGACGCUGAGGCACGAAAGUGCGGGGAUCGAACAGG
rnacentral:rRNA from 1 species